rnacentral:hammerhead_ribozyme from 1 species
CUCCAGCUGACGAGUCUCAACUAGGACGAAACGUGCGUUCUGGAU